rnacentral:rRNA from 1 species
UUUUAGAGUUUUGAAUAUGGCUCAGGACGAACGCUGGCGGCGUGCCUAAUACAUGCAAGUCGAGCGGACAGAUGGGAGCUUGCUCCCUGAUGUUAGCGGCGGACGGGUGAGUAACACGUGGGUAACCUGCCUGUAAGACUGGGAUAACUCCGGGAAACCGGGGCUAAUACCGGAUGCUUGUUUGAACCGCAUGGUUCAAACAUAAAAGGUGGCUUCGGCUACCACUUACAGAUGGACCCGCGGCGCAUUAGCUAGUUGGUGAGGUAACGGCUCACCAAGGCAACGAUGCGUAGCCGACCUGAGAGGGUGAUCGGCCACACUGGGACUGAGACACGGCCCAGACUCCUACGGGAGGCAGCAGUAGGGAAUCUUCCGCAAUGGACGAAAGUCUGACGGAGCAACGCCGCGUGAGUGAUGAAGGUUUUCGGAUCGUAAAGCUCUGUUGUUAGGGAAGAACAAGUACCGUUCGAAUAGGGCGGUACCUUGACGGUACCUAACCAGAACGCCUA